rnacentral:lncRNA from 1 species
CUCUCCCUUCUUUUGCUGCCCCCCCCCAUUUUUUCUGUGCCCCCCCCAGAUGGGUUACGACGGGCUCUUCGUGGGCCGCGUGGACGCCCAGGACAAGGCGGCGCGGGAGCAGCGCCGGGAGCUGGAGAUGAUCUGGAGGGCGAGCGGCAGCCUCCCCCCCCCCGCCGCCGACAUCUUCACCGGGGCAUCCUAAUCCCGUCCCUGGGGGGCAUCCUAAUCCCGUCCCUGGGGGACAUCUUAAUCCCAUUCCUUGUCCCUGGCGGUCAUCCUAAUCCCAUCCUUCAUCCUUGGGGGGCGUUCUAAUUCCAUCUCUCAUGACUGGGGGGUGUCCUAAUCCCAUCCCCUGUCCCUGAGAAACAUCCUAAUCCCACUCCUCAUCCCUGGGGGGCAUCCUAAUCCCACUCCUCAUCCCUGGGGGGCAUCCUAAUCCCAUUCCCUGUCCCUGGGGCUAUCCUAAUCCCGUCUUCCAUCCCUGGGGGGCUUUCUAAUCCUGUCCCUCAUUCCUUCGGGGGUAUCUUAAUCCUAUUUCUUGUUCCUGGCGGUCACCCUAAUUCCAUCCCCCGUCCCUGGGGGUCACCCUAAUUCCGUCCCCCAUCCCUGGGGGGCAUCUUAAUCCCAUUCCCCAUCCCUGGGGGCCAUCCUAAACCCGUUCCCUGUUCCUCGGGGCCAUCCUAAUCCUGUCCACCGUCCCUGGGGCCCAUCCUAAUCCCAUUCCCCGUCCCUGGGGCCCAUCCUAAUCCCAUUCCCCGUCCCUGGGGCCCAUCCCAAUCCCGUCCCCCAUCCCCGCAGCCGAUCCCAGCCCCGUUUUCACCCCAAACGCCCCAUUCCUGGGGGGCUGGCCCUGCCCCCAGCCCCGUUCCCGUCCCCGAUC